UACGGAGGGUGCGAGCGUUAUCCGGAGUUACUGGGCGUAAAGGGCGUGUAGGCGGCUCGGUAAGUCUACUCUGAAAGCUCCUGGCUAAACUGGGAGAGGCGAGUGGAGACUGUCGGUCUAGAGUGAGGAAGAGGAAAGUGGAAUUCCGCGUGUAGUGGUGAAAUGCGUAGAGAUGCGGAGGAACACCAGUGGCGAAAGCGGCUUUCUGGGCCUUAACUGACGCUGAGGCGCGAAAGCAUGGGGAGCGAACGGG
rnacentral:rRNA from 1 species